GACUUAGGUUUGAACCUAUGAUGUCACACACAUUAGAGUUCAUGAUCCGAUCGGAUGGUUGAUCAAUGAUUAAGAAUCGUUCUAGGGUUAAAUGAUCAAUACGAUUGACAUUUAACCCAGUGCAAGUGUUGCAGGAGGAUCGAUUAGCAAUUUGAUUGCUAAUUGGCUUAAUUUGAUUAAGCCAAUGGGCUGAGAUUAAGUUUAAUUAAAUAUAUUUUAAUUAGAUUUAGUUUAGGCUUGAUUGGAUCAAGUCCAAUUGGUUUAUUGGAUAAGCCAAGUGCAAGAAAAAACUAGUCCUAGUUCAACUAGGUCUUGGGUCAAU
rnacentral:lncRNA from 1 species